rnacentral:rRNA from 1 species
AGAUUGAACGCUGGCGGAAUGCUUUACACAUGCAAGUCGAACGGCAGCACGGGGGCAACCCUGGUGGCGAGUGGCGAACGGGUGAGUAAUACAUCGGAACGUGCCCAGUCGUGGGGGAUAACGUAGCGAAAGCUACGCUAAUACCGCAUACGAACUCUGGUUGAAAGCGGGGGACUCGCAAGAGCCUCGCGCGAUUGGAGCGGCCGAUGGCAGAUUAGGUAGUUGGUGGGGUAAAGGCUCACCAAGCCUGCGAUCUGUAGCUGGUCUGAGAGGACGACCAGCCACACUGGGACUGAGA